rnacentral:rRNA from 1 species
GACGAACGCUGGCGGCGUGCCUAAUACAUGCAAGUCGAGCGGAGCGGCGAACGGGUGAGUAACGCGUGAGUAACUGCCCCCCUCUCUGGGAUAACAGUUGGAAACGGCUGCUAAUACCGGAUAGUGGGGGAUGACUCGGGUCCUAUCAGUUUGUUGGUGGGGUAGUGGCCUACCAAGGCGACGACGGGUAGCCGGCCUGGGAGGGGGACCGGCCACAGUGGGCUAAGGUACGGCCCGAACUCGUACGGGAGGCAGCAGUGGGGAAUAUGGCACAAUGGUGGAAACUCUGAUGAAGGAAGGCCGGGUGCGGGAUGACGGCCUUCGGGUUGAAAACCGCUUUCAGCCAUGACGCGGUAGUGGCAGAAGAAGCACCGGCUAACUACGUGCCAGCAGCCGCGGUAAUAC